CGGCGCCGAAGGGUGUGUGCUCGGGACGUCUAAACAGCAAAGCUUUGCUUUUAAGAAUUUAGGAAAGAAAAAACAAACUCGCCUCUGCUCCUGUACGAUUCCCCACCCGGCUCCUCAUCCACUUCCGCCAUUUCCUCCGAUUUGCCGCCGGCGAAGGUGGUGGCGCUGGCGCAUGUGGCUGGGUGAGUACGUGGAUCUCGGCGAGGUCGUCGAGUCUGGCGACGCGGCCAUGGAUAUGGCCAAGGAGAGCGUGGGCUACACUGCUCAAAAAUUUAUUGGCCGGAGGCUUUGGAUGAUGGUGGCACAGAGGUAGUGAGGGAUCUCACGGAGUAGGGAACAGUAGCAAGACGUGAGCAGCUUCUGCUGGCGGAUGUUAGUUGUUGCCCUCCUGCUAUGCGACCUGCUACCAAACGUAGGUGUUACUGCAACCAUACAAGUUUUUGUGUAGGGGAAUGAUCUAGAAAUCUGAAUAAGUUUUUAUCAUUCCAUUGCUAAACAAUACUCA